CUUUUGUCUAAUUUUUAUACAGUAUUGGUCUGUGUAAGGGUACUUUCAGACUAGCGUUUUUCUUUUCCGAUAUUGAGUGCUGUCACAGGAGCUCAGUACCGUAAAAAAACUGAUCAGUGUUAUCCUAAUGCAUUCUGAAUGGAGAGCAAUCCGUCCAGGAUGCAUCAGUUCAGUCCCUCUUAUGUUUUUUGGCCGGAGAAAA